rnacentral:rRNA from 1 species
AGAACGAACGCUGGCGGCAGGCUUAACACAUGCAAGUCGAACGAACGUAGCAAUACGUUAGUGGCGCACGGGUGAGUAACGCGUGGAUAUCUGCCUUUUGGUUCGGGAUAACCUUGGGAAACUAGGGCUAAUACCGAAUGGUUCCUACGGGAUAAAGAUUUAUCGCCAAAAGAUGAGUCCGCGUCCGAUUAGCUAGUUGGUGGGGUAAUGGCCCACCAAGGCGACGAUCGGUAGCUGGUCUGAGAGGACGAUCAGCCACACUGGGACUGAGACACGGCCCAGACUCCUACGGGAGGCAGCAGUGGGGGAAUAUUGGACAAUGGGGGCAACCCUGAUCCAGCCAUGCCGCGUGAGUGAUGAAGGCCUUCGGGUUGUAAAGCUCUUUUGGCGGGGACGAUGAUGACGGUACCCGCAGAAUAAGCCCCGGCUAACUUCGUGCCAGCAGCCGC